UACGGAGGGUGCAAGCGUUAUCCGGAUUUACUGGGCGUAAAGCGCACGUAGGUGGCGACGUAAGUCGGGUGUGAAAGCCCCGGGCUCAACCUGGGAAUUGCAUUCGAGACUGCAUUGCUGGAGUACGGAAGAGGAGGGCGGAAUUCCCGGUGUAGCGGUGAAAUGCGUAGAUAUCGGGAGGAACAUCAGUGGCGAAGGCGGCCCUCUGGUCCAGUACUGACACUCAAGUGCGAAAGCGUGGGGAGCAAACAGG
rnacentral:rRNA from 1 species